UCCGAGUUGACCCCGGCAGUCUCUUACGAGUCCCCACCAUUACGUGCUGGCAACCAAGGGUGUGGGUUGCGCUCGUUGCCGGACUUAACCGAACAUCUCACGACACGAGCUGACGACAGCCAUGCAGCACCUGUCCACCUGUCCCUUGCGGGAAAGACCUGUCUCCAGGCCGGUCAGGCGAUGUCAAGGGUUGGUAAGGUUCUGCGCGUUGCUUCGAAUUAAGCCACAUGCUCCACCGCUUGUGCGGGCCCCCGCCAAUUCCUUUGAGUUUCAACCUUGCGGCCGUAGUCCCCAGGUGGAUCACUUAAUGCGUUAGCUGCGGCACCGAGGAAGACCCCGACACCUAGUGAUCAUCGUUUACGGCGUGGACUAC
rnacentral:misc_RNA from 1 species